GGGCGAAUAGCGAAGUGGCCAAACGCGGCUGACUGUAAAUCAGCUCCUUCGGGUUCGGUGGUUCAAAUCCAUCUUCGCCCACCA
rnacentral:tRNA from 2 species